rnacentral:lncRNA from 1 species
UGCAGCUAUCUAUCUACAUAGUUCAUAAGUUUUGAUCGUGAGUGAUAGAGACUAACUAACAAAAUUUCUAGUGCUAGAGGCAAUUUGCUCCCAUAGUUGAUUGGUGCUAAAAGACAACAAAUGCCAAUUAUAUUGGUAUAGUAGGCCAUGAUGCAACAUUCAAUCCAUAUCCAUAUUGUACAUUAGAAAAACAGAACACGAUUGACUUGAUAUCUAUAUUACAUAUCAAAACCACAAACAGAAAAAUUACACCAUCCCAAGGGUUAGUACAGUAGUGGCCGGUAAUGUACCAUUCUUGGGAAGAACCCGUACCACCCUCAGUAUUGCCUCAGUAUUGGUAUUUCAAUCCUUGCUAGUUACAGUUUAUAUUGCACAUGGCUUUACUGAUUGUUUGCAUAUUUGUGAACGCUUUUUCUAUCUUGAAUGAUCUGACUGCAACUGAAGGUCUUUAGAAGGUCUUGCAUAAUGAGCAUUUAAUUAUUUGACUCUGUGCUGCUUGAAUUAGACUAAUAUAUGAAUAAUUUAUACAUAUACAAGUCCAUAUACUGAAAAAUUGAAAAUUUCAUUGGUUCAUUUGUUUCUUCUGAAAAACUAUUGGU